AACAGUGAUAACGGAUUAAUCUUGUUCACUUUUGGAACAUACUCCGCUAUUAGUCUAAUCUGAGUUGAUCCCAUUUAAAAUAAAGAAAAAAGAGAAAAGAAAAGUCAAGAAAAAAAAAGUCCGAUUUACAAAUCUAAUUUGGCAACACGGUUUUCUUGACAAGAAUUUUUACAACGCGCGACAAAACAAGAAAAACACAGAGAAGCAAAAUACUGAAAAUAAGUAACGUCAUGGGACUCAUGGCAUGUAUUACCAGUGUUUAGAAAUCCCCCAUGAACAAGGUUUAUCAGUUUCUAUGGAAAUCUUCCAGAGAAACAUGCCCUACCCUGCGAUUUUUUGGUCGAGGGGACUUUUUCUACCACACAAGGGCAAGAUGCCCUUUUGCUUCAAGAGAUUACUUCAAAACAUCAGCAGUGUCGUCAAGAUGUUGGGGUAUGGAGCUAAGAAGUUGGAAUCGGUGGUCUUUAACAAAAGUCACUUUGAGAACUUUGCAUGUGAUGUAGUCAGCAAGCAAUACUACAUUGAAAUCUACAAUGGAUCCAAAAGUGACUGGUCUCUCCAAUAUCAAUUGGCAUUCUAGCUCAAAAUUGGCUCAGAAAAUCAAAUAGGAUGCAGCUAAUGUAGAUACUUAUGCAAGAAAGAUUCUUUUGACACAGUUUUCAGAAAACAUGCCAAUGAUGCCUUCUCAAAUUUAGAAUCUCUCAUCGUCCAAGAGGUUUUGAUUCCACAUGGACGCCUACGUUGCGCCGAAAACAAUUCUGAACCGGCAUGGACUGCUAAUAGUAAAUGAAAA
rnacentral:misc_RNA from 1 species